rnacentral:lncRNA from 1 species
AUGUCGCGUUUCCGCCCCGCGGCCGAGCAAGCCCGGUGCUCACGGUGCCCGGCAGCCUGCCGCGUUUUGCAGCCGUUUAAGGUAAAACUGGGGCCGUGCUGCGAGGCGGCGCUGCGGAGGGGUGGGCGAGCAGCGGGGCCGGGGCCGGAGGUGCCCUCGGACGGGAGCAUCCCGGCACCRAGGGCUCAGCCCCGCGCGGCUGCGGCUGGCCGGUGCUGUUAUCCCGCCGGCUCCGGCCUCCACCUCCCCGUCUCCGGGGAAGCUGGCGCGGCUGGUGGUGGCAUCACUUUCCGAGACGGACUCGUCCCGCGUCCGGAUGCCGGGAGCCCCGCCGUGUCCCACGCACUCGCCGGGCCCCGCUGGGGCAGGAGGCRGCGGGGGGACAGCGAGGACCUUCUCGCCGGCGGCCCCGAAGUGCCAGAGGCGAGACGGUGCCCGGGGGGGGGUUCUGCUUCCCGGCCCUUCGCCCCGGGGAGGCUGGUGGCUCCCUGGUUUGUGGCACAGGCGGCAGGGAUGGAGCCUCUCCAGGACUCGGCUUCGAUUCCUGCUCCGGCUGGAGCCCGGCGAGACUCCGGGACGCGGCUGCUUUCCCUGCUCUGCGGGGAGCUGGGAUCCUGCCGUUCGCCGACGCCUUUCCCACCCAUGGCGCUUGGAGCUGCUCUUUCCGAUGCCUGUGCCAAAAUGCCUAUCCCUGUCCCCGAGGAGCCCGACCUCACGUCCUUGUGCAAUAUUUUAGGCAGCUGGUGCCAACCCCGCGGUUGGCUUCGGGGAAGAGCUCGUCGGGCGCCCGGAGCGCUGGCGGUGGCUGCGGGGACGUCUCCUCCGGCGAGCGAGGAUCCGCGUUGUGCUGGCGGGGAGGGACGGGCGCUGGAGCAGCCCAAGCCCUCGCUCCUCUCCCUGACGCCGCCGGCACUCGCGCCUGCUCGGUGGUGGCGGCGAGAUGCCCCCUCUCCCCCCGCCGCCGCGCUCCCUCGCGGCCCCGACGGCUUUGCCUUGCCGGCUUCUCCACGGAAAUCGCGGCUUCGUUCAAAACCCAGGUCAACGUGUUUCUAUGCGGCCGAACGGGCUCCGCUCUGGGGCUCGCGGGCGGUGGGCGSGUGGGCAGGGCUAGAGCUGGAGCAGGGAGCGGAGGGGCACGGCRGGGAGCCGUGA